GUCCUAGUAGCUUAAUCAAUAAAGCGUCGGUCUUGUAAUCCGAAGAGUGAAGGUUUAAUUCCUUCCUAGUACC
rnacentral:tRNA from 1 species